rnacentral:rRNA from 1 species
GACGAACGCUGGCGGCGUGCCUAAUACAUGCAAGUCGAGCGCAUUUUCUUUUACCGUUGCUUGCUUCACCGACAGAAAAUGAGUAGCGAACGGGUGAGUACCACGCUGGUAACUUACCCAUCAGCGGGGGAUCACACUUGGAAACAGGUCCUAAUACCGAAUAAUUCUAUUUGCCGCCUGGUACAGUGUUGAAAGGCCCUUUUGCGUCACUGCUGGAUGGUCCCGCGGUGCAUUAGCUAGGUGGUGGGGUAACGGCCUACCAAGGCUGUGAUGCAUAGCCGACCUGAGACGGUGAGCGGCCAGACUGGGAGUGAGACACGGCCCAGACUCCUACGGGAGCGGGCAGUAGGGAAUCUUCGGCAAUGGACGCAAGUCUGACCGAGCAGCGCGGCGUGAGUGAGGAAGGUUUUCGGAUCGUAAAACUCUGUUGUUAGAGUAGAACAAGGAUGAGAGUGGAAAGAUGAGCCCGUGACAGUAUCUAAACAGGAAGCCACGGCUAACUACGUG